rnacentral:rRNA from 1 species
UGGGGAAUAUUGGGCAAUGGGGGAAACCCGUAGACCCAGCAACGCCGCGUGAGGGAAGAAGGUCUUCGGAUUGUAAACCUCUGUCCUUGGGGACGAAGAAGUGACGGUACCCAAGGAGGAAGCUCCGGCUAACUACGUGCCAGCAGCCGCGGUAAUACGUAGGGAGCGAGCGUUGUCCGGAAUCACUGGGCGUAAAGGGUGCGUAGGCGGUUAAUUAAGUCAGAUGUGAAAUCCCCGGGCUUAACCUGGGGGCUGCAUCUGAUACUGGUUGACUUGAGUGCAGGAGAGGAAAGCGGAAUUCCUAGUGUAGCGGUGAAAUGCAUAGAUAUUAGGAGGAACACCAGUGGCGAAGGCGGCUUUCUGGACUGCAACUGACGCUGAGGCACGAAAGCGUGGGGAGCAAACAGGAUUAGAUACCCUGGUAGU